CUCAUCUUUAUGACUGUUAUGUGGUGCACAACUCCAUAUCACAGUCAUUGGAUGGGUG
rnacentral:pre_miRNA from 1 species